rnacentral:rRNA from 1 species
ACUCCUACGGGAGGCAGCAGUGGGGGAAUAUUGCACAAUGGGGGAAACCCUGAUGCAGUCAUGCCGCGUGGUGUGAAGAAGGCCUUGGGUUGUAAAGCACUUUCAGUAGGGAGGAAGGUAGUGUAGUUAACACCUGCAUUAUUUGUACGUUACCUACAGAAGAAGCACCGGCUAACUCCGUGCCAGCAGCCGCGGUAAUACGGAGGGUGCGAGCGUUAAUCGGAAUUACUGGGCGUAAAGCGCAUGCAGGCGGCCUGUUAAGUCAGAUGUGAAAGCCCGGGGCUUAACCUCGGAAUUGCAUUUGAAACUGGCAGGCUAGAGUCUUGUAGAGGGGUUAGAAUUUCAGGUGUAGCGGUGAAAUGCGUAGAGAUCUGAAGGAAUACCAGUGGCGAA